rnacentral:rRNA from 12 species
UUGACCUCAAAUCAGGUAGGAUUACCCGCUGAACUUAAGCAUAUC